rnacentral:lncRNA from 1 species
UGGUGGAGACCUCUUGUAUUUACCUUUAACCAUCCCUGCAUCAUUAGACAUAGCACUAAACACAAUGUAGUUAGAAAGUUUCAUAUUUUGGGGUCCUUAACUAUCCUCUAUAUUUACAUCUACAAAUACAAAGAAUUUAAAAGUUGACUGUAACUUUGAUAGAUUUGUAUGAGACUCUGACAAAAGUGCGCGUUUCGUAAGCUUCUUAGGUAGAAGCCAUUCAUUGACAACCUAUCCACCAA